rnacentral:rRNA from 1 species
UACGAAGGUGGCAAGCGUUGUUCGGAUUUACUGGGCGUAAAGGGAGCGUAGGUGGUUAGGUAAGCCCUCCGGGAAAUCUUCAGGCUUAACCUGAGAAGGUCGGGGGGGACUGCCUGGCUAGAGGACGGGAGAGGAGCGCGGAAUUCCCGGUGUAGCGGUGAAAUGCGUAGAGAUCGGGAGGAAGGCCGGUGGCGAAGGCGGCGCUCUGGAACGUUUCUGACACUGAGGCUCGAAAGCGUGGGGAGCAAACAGG